GGCAGUGGUAGCUCGGUGGUUAAGGUGUUGGACCGCUGCUCAGAAGAUCAUUAGUUCAAACCCCAGCACUGCCA